UGUGUGUUGUGUGUGUGUGGUGUGUGUGUAUAGUCUUGUUUAACUAUAUUCGUGGGGUCUGAAGACCGGGAGUCCAGUAUAGUUGUGGGGUGCCGACAGCAUUGU